GACGAACGCUGGCGGCGUGCUUAACACAUGCAAGUCGAACGGAAAGGCCCUGCUUUUGUGGGGUGCUCGAGUGGCGAACGGGUGAGUAACACGUGAGUAACCUGCCCUUGACUUUGGGAUAACUUCAGGAAACUGGGGCUAAUACCGGAUAGGAGCUCCUGCUGCAUGGUGGGGGUUGGAAAGUUUCGGCGGUUGGGGAUGGACUCGCGGCUUAUCAGCUUGUUGGUGGGGUAGUGGCUUACCAAGGCUUUGACGGGUAGCCGGCCUGAGAGGGUGACCGGCACAAUGGGGAUAGAGACCGCGCCGGACCCCAGCGGGGGGGAAGGAGGGGGGAUUUUUGCACAGGGGGGGGAGGCCUAAUGCAGCACCGCCGGGGGGGGGAUGAGGGCUUUCGGUUUGUAACCCGUUUUCGCCUAUAACGAAGGGUGAGGGAGGAGAGGGGAAAAAAAGCCACGGCCUAACUAGGCC
rnacentral:rRNA from 1 species